rnacentral:rRNA from 1 species
GGUUAAGCGACUAAGCGUACACGGUGGAUGCCCUGGCAGUCAGAGGCGAUGAAGGACGUGCUAAUCUGCGAUAAGCGUCGGUAAGGUGAUAUGAACCGUUAUAACCGGCGAUUUCCGAAUGGGGAAACCCAGUGUGAUUCGUCACACUAUCAUUAACUGAAUCCAUAGGUUAAUGAGGCGAACCGGGGGAACUGAAACAUCUAAGUACCCCGAGGAAAAGAAAUCAACCGAGAUUCCCCCAGUAGCGGCGAGCGAACGGGGAGCAGCCCAGAGCCUGAAUCAGUGUGUGUGUUAGUGGAAGCGUCUGGAAAGGCGCGCGAUACAGGGUGACAGCCCCGUACACAAAAAUGCACAUGCUGUGAGCUCGAUGAGUAGGGCGGGACACGUGGUAUCCUGUCUGAAUAUGGGGGGACCAUCCUCCAAGGCUAAAUACUCCUGACUGACCGAUAGUGAACCAGUACCGUGAGGGAAAGGCGAAAAGAACCCCGGCGAGGGGAGUGAAAAAGAACCUGAAACCGUGUACGUACAAGCAGUGGGAGCACGCUUAGGCGUGUGACUGCGUACCUUUUGUAUAAUGGGUCAGCGACUUAUAUUCUGUAGCAAGGUUAACCGAAUAGGGGAGCCGAAGGGAAACCGAGUCUUAACUGGGCGUUAAGUUGCAGGGUAUAGACCCGAAACCCGGUGAUCUAGCCAUGGGCAGGUUGAAGGUUGGGUAACACUAACUGGAGGACCGAACCGACUAAUGUUGAAAAAUUAGCGGAUGACUUGUGGCUGGGGGUGAAAGGCCAAUCAAACCGGGAGAUAGCUGGUUCUCCCCGAAAGCUAUUUAGGUAGCGCCUCGUGAAUUCAUCUCCGGGGGUAGAGCACUGUUUCGGCAAGGGGGUCAUCCCGACUUACCAACCCGAUGCAAACUGCGAAUACCGGAGAAUGUUAUCACGGGAGACACACGGCGGGUGCUAACGUCCGUCGUGAAGAGGGAAACAACCCAGACCGCCAGCUAAGGUCCCAAAGUCAUGGUUAAGUGGGAAACGAUGUGGGAAGGCCCAGACAGCCAGGAUGUUGGCUUAGAAGCAGCCAUCAUUUAAAGAAAGCGUAAUAGCUCACUGGUCGAGUCGGCCUGCGCGGAAGAUGUAACGGGGCUAAACCAUGCACCGAAGCUGCGGCAGCGACGCUUAUGCGUUGUUGGGUAGGGGAGCGUUCUGUAAGCCUGCGAAGGUGUGCUGUGAGGCAUGCUGGAGGUAUCAGAAGUGCGAAUGCUGACAUAAGUAACGAUAAAGCGGGUGAAAAGCCCGCUCGCCGGAAGACCAAGGGUUCCUGUCCAACGUUAAUCGGGGCAGGGUGAGUCGACCCCUAAGGCGAGGCCGAAAGGCGUAGUCGAUGGGAAACAGGUUAAUAUUCCUGUACUUGGUGUUACUGCGAAGGGGGGACGGAGAAGGCUAUGUUGGCCGGGCGACGGUUGUCCCGGUUUAAGCGUGUAGGCUGGUUUUCCAGGCAAAUCCGGAAAACUAAGGCUGAGGCGUGAUGACGAGGCACUACGGUGCUGAAGCAACAAAUGCCCUGCUUCCAGGAAAAGCCUCUAAGCAUCAGGUAACAUCAAAUCGUACCCCAAACCGACACAGGUGGUCAGGUAGAGAAUACCAAGGCGCUUGAGAGAACUCGGGUGAAGGAACUAGGCAAAAUGGUGCCGUAACUUCGGGAGAAGGCACGCUGAUAUGUAGGUGAAGCGACUUGCUCGUGGAGCUGAAAUCAGUCGAAGAUACCAGCUGGCUGCAACUGUUUAUUAAAAACACAGCACUGUGCAAACACGAAAGUGGACGUAUACGGUGUGACGCCUGCCCGGUGCCGGAAGGUUAAUUGAUGGGGUCAGCGCAAGCGAAGCUCUUGAUCGAAGCCCCGGUAAACGGCGGCCGUAACUAUAACGGUCCUAAGGUAGCGAAAUUCCUUGUCGGGUAAGUUCCGACCUGCACGAAUGGCGUAAUGAUGGCCAGGCUGUCUCCACCCGAGACUCAGUGAAAUUGAACUCGCUGUGAAGAUGCAGUGUACCCGCGGCAAGACGGAAAGACCCCGUGAACCUUUACUAUAGCUUGACACUGAACAUUGAGCCUUGAUGUGUAGGAUAGGUGGGAGGCUUUGAAGUGUGGACGCCAGUCUGCAUGGAGCCGACCUUGAAAUACCACCCUUUAAUGUUUGAUGUUCUAACGUGGACCCGUGAUCCGGGUUGCGGACAGUGUCUGGUGGGUAGUUUGACUGGGGCGGUCUCCUCCUAAAGAGUAACGGAGGAGCACGAAGGUUGGCUAAUCCUGGUCGGACAUCAGGAGGUUAGUGCAAUGGCAUAAGCCAGCUUGACUGCGAGCGUGACGGCGCGAGCAGGUGCGAAAGCAGGUCAUAGUGAUCCGGUGGUUCUGAAUGGAAGGGCCAUCGCUCAACGGAUAAAAGGUACUCCGGGGAUAACAGGCUGAUACCGCCCAAGAGUUCAUAUCGACGGCGGUGUUUGGCACCUCGAUGUCGGCUCAUCACAUCCUGGGGCUGAAGUAGGUCCCAAGGGUAUGGCUGUUCGCCAUUUAAAGUGGUACGCGAGCUGGGUUUAGAACGUCGUGAGACAGUUCGGUCCCUAUCUGCCGUGGGCGCUGGAGAACUGAGGGGGGCUGCUCCUAGUACGAGAGGACCGGAGUGGACGCAUCACUGGUGUUCGGGUUGUCAUGCCAAUGGCACUGCCCGGUAGCUAAAUGCGGAAGAGAUAAGUGCUGAAAGCAUCUAAGCACGAAACUUGCCCCGAGAUGAGUUCUCCCUGACUCCUUGAGAGUCCUGAAGGAACGUUGAAGACGACGACGUUGAUAGGCCGGGUGUGUAAGCGCAGCGAUGCGUUGAGCUAACCGGUACUAAUGAACCGUGAGGCUUAACCUU